rnacentral:lncRNA from 1 species
CUACAGCAUAUGGAGGUUCCCAGUCUAGGGGUCAAAUUGGAGCUAUAGCUGCUGGCCUACGCCACAGCCAUACCAGAUGCAAGCCGAGUCUGCAACCUGCACCACAGCUCAUGGCAACACCAGAUCCUUAACCCACUGAGCAGGGCCAGGGAUCCAACCUGCAUCCUCAUUGAUGCUAGUCAGAUGAAGGGAUUGUUUCAUGGUGGACAAUUCAACAUGGCACAAACAGUUUACAGACACAAGAGACAACAAUGUUUUUGUAUAGUCAACAGAAAUGUCUUUGCUAAACUAAUAAAAUCCAGAGCUGUCUCUCUCUAGAUUACCUAGCCCAUGUUCCUUUCAUUUGUUUGCUCACCUUCUCCAUCAUCUGACUACACUUCGAUCUACUAUCAAAAGAAGGCUGUACUUCCAAUCUCAGAUUUCCAUUUUCUAUCUCCCUGUGCACUGCCUAAGUGGAAAUUUUUACCAGUAUCUUCUGGGAAGAGGCUCUAACAAGCCCUUUUUGUAUAUUAAGACAUUAAAUAAAAAAAAAAAAAAACUAACAGAACUUGUCCAUUUCAAUAUGACCAAUCAAUUCCUCUACAGAUCAGAAAUUACAGAAAAGGAAAUCUUUUAGUGAAGGCAAGAAAAUCAGCUGGGAGAAACUUACUGGUUGCAGAGAGUUGUCACAAGUUCCUGACAAGGAGAAACACCAGGGGACAAUGACCUCCCUUGUGAUUUGGACACAGGUCACCAGCAGCAAAUGCCCCAGGAGCCCAAGCAAAAUCAUCUUCAGGAUAAAUCUGCUCAAAAAAACAAGAGUUCCCAUGGUGGCACAGGGGUAACAAAGCCAACUAGUAUCCAUGAGGAUUCCGGUUUGAUCCCUGGCCCCACUCAGUGGGUUAAGGAUCCAGCAUUGCCGUGAGCUAUGGUAUAGACUGGCAGCUACAGCUCCGAUUUGACCCCUAGCCUGGGAGUUUCCCUAUGCCUCAGACGUGGCCCUAAAAAGAAAAAAGAAAAAAAAAUGUUAAAAAUGAAAUAAGUCAAUCUAGGGACAGCUGCUCUUUGGGUACACCAACUACUAGGAGGAAACUCUUCCAUUUAGCAUUUAUUUCAUUUGAUCUUCACAACCCUGAGAGGUGUCCAUCAUUAUCCCCUGUAUGGACAAUCACAACACAGGUUAAAUGACUUGCUCAACAGCCCACAGAUGACUUGUGACUGAGUUAAGACUAAUGGGCGUCCUGUCUCAUGAUCUCACUGCUUUCUCACCUGACCAGCUCCAGCCAGAACGUCCCCCCUCUUCUUCCUGGUCGGCAACAAAGACUCUGGGCUUCCAACUAGCAAAAUUCCUUUCUUAUUUCAAAGGAAAAAUUAUAAGGACAAUCAUAUGAUACAUUGUAUGAUGUUAACUUACCCGGGUAAUCAUUUUGCAAUAUAUGCAUUUGUCAAGUCAUUACGUUGUACAUCAUUGUACAUUGUGGCCUAAUGCAACACUAUUUAUCAAUUACUCAUCAAUAAAACUGGGGCAGGGGGAAUGCCUCAUAGUUAUGUAGUACUUAGCAAAUAACAAAGCAUUUGCAUUCAAACAACCUAUCUAUUGUGCAACCCAGAUACAUCCUAAGGAGAAAAAGGGACAAUAUUCUUUGUCUGUAACUGAUAGGAAAAUAGAGACUCCUGCCACCUGCAGGGUUGUCCAGAUGAAGAGCAACAGCGGUGGGGCUCAACAAACCCAAGACAGAUGGAAAAACUAUAGUGGAGCCUCGACCUCCAGAGACCCCGUUUUAGGGCAUGAAAGAGUUGUUCAUCUUCCUAAACCAACAGGAUGAGUUAACCCAACCUAACUUUCAACAGACUUCGAAAAUACCAAUGUUUGAUGUAAAGACUCACUGCCUACAGUGUUUAUCUUCCCUGAAAAAUGCUAAGGUCGAAACUAAGUAUGGGAAAGGAUAAAAACAAACAAACCAGCAACAUCCUUGAAGUGGCAGCUGGGAAAGUUUGAUCUUUAUAAACUUUUCAUUGGGCUGCAAAACAAUUUUCCUCUUCCCUACCAUUUAGUUACCAACCUACACUAGUUCACCAGAUAAAGAUCUCCAGGAUAAUGAUUAGAAUUGCAGGAAACAUAAUGGAAUACAAUACUGUGUGGGAGCCAAGGAGGUAGGUAGGCAUUGCAGUUGUGCAAAACUGUGUAUAAGAGCUUGGCUCCUCAUUGACCAGCCGUGUGCCCCGGGCAAAGUCCCUUCAACUCAGCACACUCUCAUUUCCUGGCUUUAAAAUGAAGAAUACCACCUACCUUGCCAUGAGGACCUAAGGACUUAAGGUAAUCAGGAGAAGCUGGGGGGUGAAUGGUAGUUACCAACACUGCUACUUAUUAUCAUUUUUGUGUUUUUUAGGGCCACACCUGCAGCCUAUGGAGGUUCCCAGGCUAGGGGUCAAAUCAGCCUACACCACAGCCACAGCCUCGUGGGAUCUGAGUCACAUCUGCGACCAACACCACGGCUCACAGCAACGCCAGAUCCUCAACCCACUGAGGCAGGCCAGGAAUCAAACCCGUGUCCUCAUGGACACUAGUCGGAUUCUUAACCUGCAGAGCCAGCUCAGAGCUCCUAUGAUCACAUUUUUAAACAUCCAUUGUAACAAGGAUUCCCAGAUUAGAGAGCCUCUUCCAUUUGAGGGACACCUACUGUGUACAAAACCCUGCCCUUGGGCACUCCUGAAUGAGUGGUUGUGAACCCCCCCUAACAAAGCUUCCAUUCUGCUGAAAGGCAGAGUUACUGCAAAAGACCCUAAGCAUUCACAGAACCCAUAAUGUGAAAGUUCUCCCAGGGGAGAACGCACCCCAAGUGUGAGCCCUGCACCAACACUGGGACAUGGACCAACAGCAGUAUGUGUCAUUUCUGAAAUGUCCAGCUUUGCCUCCUCCCCUUCUGAAUGAGCUGCACAGCCUUGCUGGGGGCUGAGUGGCCCAGCACUCGCAGCCGCAGUCUAUAAGAACUACAUUAACCGUGACCCUUCUAACAGGGUAAUUGCCACGUAUGUGUGUCAGGGCCGAUGCUCCCGCCUGCUCAGCCUGGGAACGGGCUGCCCUCCACCAGCAGGAGGUGGCUUGUCUCCCCCACAUGCCUAUCACUGCAGGGCCAAGCUUGGACCGGGAGAAGCCGGGCUUCCCCCACAAGACUCGCAUGGCCAGCCUCCCUCCCCAGUCAGCUUCUCCAUCCCAGAACUGCCUCCAUUCUGCACAGCACAGGUGUUUGUCUCCAUGUGUAGGGAGACAUUUACCUUCCUCUCCAAUUUCUCUCCUCUUAGACUCCAACUGACUCCUGAGGGCACGCAGAUCAGGCUCUUCCCAUAUCUGCUCAGGACAAGCCUGGUCCCCAAGCAAGUUCUUUACCCUGCCCAGAAAUCCUGACCCAGCAUGAUUAACUCCACUCCCUUGUCAGGGUGUGGCCCAAGCCCAUCUUCUCAUGAAGUGUCCUUUGAAGAAAUCCUCGCUGCUGAGAAUUUCUGGGGCCUGAGAUCUGAGAGCACGAUCCCAACACUUAAAUGAACUGUGUUUCCUACAUAUAUCCUGGGAGCAACCCCAGGGCUCUACUGGGACAAGUGAACUGCUCAACCGGCCUGGCUGGGACCCUUCCUUGCUCUGUGCAGCUCCCCAAAGUUGCUCAUUAACUCAAAGAGAACAAGCAUCCCAGCAGCGGUUAGAGUAACUAUUCCCUUAUAAAAAAGAACCACGACAUUCUAAAAGUUGCUGGUAGGUGUGACUGUGGCUCCGUGUUGUUCCACUAAUUUCGCCUGAACUAGACUUAUCUCCACGUUGAGUGUGUAAGCUUCUGCCAAGUAUCACCAUCUAGAAUUUCCAGGCACUAGGGAACCCAAUAUGCACUGAAUAUUCACACAUUUGCAGUAAGGAAGAAAGGACAUGCCAAGAGCAAUGACCCAAGUCCUCAGCACUCAUGGACACUCCAGGCAGUCCUGGGGAACCCUGCUAUCCCAGGCAGCCACCACUUCCACUCAGCUGGAGGAUUAUCAAGGUCAAGGCUCCCCAAUCCAUUCCAAGACCUUGGCAACUUCCUGGCCCCGAGGUACAUCCAGGGAGGGGGGCCCAGUUGUACAUGACAGCUAGAAAACCCACUGUUACCCUGCUGGCAUUCUCCAAAAUAUGUCACUGUUACCCUGACCUCCAUUCUCAAGCUAAAGAGGAAGAAGAGAAGAAAAUCCUUCAACUAUGGUUAAAUGUAAUCCCCACAGUCACCCUUCUGAGCUGUCUCAUCAUGGACUAGAACAAAUGUAGUACUUCUUAGAGGCAGGCCACUGGACAGAACGACCUUCGGGGCAUUUGCUAUACCCCAGGUCAGGCUGAUCUUCCCUAAACUCAGCAUAGCCUCUAAGAAGAGAAUUGAGGGUACUGGUUUGCUCCAUCCAAUGCCAACUGGAAGGAUGGGUAUCUCUCUGUGAUGUCAGGCCAGCUCAGCUAUCUGGGAAGAAUUCACAAGAACCAAGCAGCACAGAACCAUGACUCAACUGUCAGCACAAACAGCCUCCCUAGCCAGGCUCACCCUCGGGGCCCUCCUCAUCCACUGUUCUCGGGAGGUUUCAAAUCCUGAGGAGCUGAGCAACCACAGGGAUGCGCUUAGAAAGGACAGUAAACUCCUUCUGAAAAGUAAGUUCCUGAAAUAAAAUUAACACUCCACCAGGCACCUCCAAUGUAGCUCCAAGACUGAUGAGCAAGCAGGAAGUACCCAUUCAUCCAGCUUCUCAGAAGGUGGACAGACAGCAACGGCUCUGAACUAACUUAAUUCCCACUUACUUCCUACUCUACCAACCACACAAAAAUGCAUUUUGUAGAUGCAAUCAUCAGAGCUGCUGCUGAACCAGUACACAAAGAAAAAUUACAAUUUCUGAGGAACGAAGCACCUCGAAACUCACAGAUUUAAACAUCUAGAUGGGUGUCUGUUUCAGUGAAACAGAAGAAAGUCUUAGAAAAAUGGAAGCCUUUGCCAACAGCUCUAUUUGAAAAGAAUUCAUCUGAGUUAUGCCCCGUGCUUUUACUUCUUUAAUAGUA